rnacentral:rRNA from 1 species
CCUACGUGAGGCAGCAGUGGGGAAUAUUGGGCAAUGGGCGCAAGCCUGACCCAGCAACGCCGCGUGAAGGAAGAAGGCUUUCGGGUUGUAAACUUCUUUUCUCAGGGACGAAGAAAGUGACGGUACCUGAGGAAUAAGCCACGGCUAACUACGUGCCAGCAGCCGCGGUACUACGUAGGUGGCAAGCGUUAUCCGGAUUUACUGGGUGGAAAGGGCGUGUAGGCGGGACUGCAAGUCAGAUGUGAAAACCACGGGCUCAACCUGUGGCGUGCAUUGGAAACUGUAGUUCUUGAGUACUGGAGAGGCAGACGGAAGUCCUAGUGUAGCGGUGAAAUGCGUAGAGAUUAGGAGGAACACCAGUGGCGAAGGCGGUCUGCUGGACAGCAACUGACGCUGAGGCGCGAAAGCGUGGGGAGCAAACAGGAUUAGAUACCCGAGUAGUC